CUCACACACACACACACACAAACAAACAAACAGGAACUCCGGGCUGCUGUUAACAGAAACACCACCACAACGUCCACUGUUGCUGCCGCUGCGUCUACUGAAGACUUGAAGGAACCUGUCUGAGAGACACAACUUGCAGGAUGAUGUGGAUCUGUACAAGGCAGUCAAUGAGUGGCUGGCGGCCAUUGGCAAGAAGUUGUUCAUGGGUGGAGACCAGCCCAAUCUGGCUGACCUGGCAGUGUAUGGGGUCCUGAGAGUGAUGGAGGGUCUUGAGGCCUGGAAUGACAUGAUGGAGAACACCAAGGUGAAGAGCUGGUACAGACGCAUGGAGAAAGCUACAGAAAGCCAUGAAGACCACAACUGAUCCUGCGCAAAACAUUGACCAACGCUAGGAAACUUGAAUUCAAUAGCACUUCCAGCCCUAAGACUAAAUCUGUCGAUGUCAUGAGAUGAGAAAAGUGAUUGCAUUAAGUAAAGACUGCAUGAUAGGCAGAAAAAUGCAAUAACAUUUUGUCCUAAGGACCACCUGAUGCAAUUUACAGAAAUCUACUUCCAACUUUGAUAUAUUGUCUGUGAAAAUGCACCCAAUGAUUUGUUUUGCUUUAAAAGAAACUGUCAGCAAUUAGCUGUUUAGAUACUUGUUUACUGUCUACCUGGUGUCCCCCAGUGUCAAAGCUGCAAACUUGAACAAUGUGUAUGACAUGGGUAAAACCAAAAUGACCGUUUCAAAAUGUACAUUACCUCCAGUCUUAGCAUUUUGGAUUCCAUUUUUUUUGCCCGUUUUAUUUUCCAUUCAAAGGUUUAAAUUUAACGAGCUAACAUGACAUUUUGAUGACUCCAUGUAAUUUUCCCUCUAGGUUUGAUCUUCCAUAAGUUAUGAAAGUAGGAAAUACACUUGUAAUGCUUUGAUGGAAAGUAUACUCAAUCUUAUUAUGGCUACCUGUUUCAGGAUGUUAACUUCCUGACUGCUUAUUCUACCUCAGAUGGUUGUUCGAGGGUUCCAGUCAUGAGCAGAAAAUGUAUUCUUAAUUAUGCAGGAUAUAGCUGGGUGUUAGUGUGCAAAGUGAAAUGGGUAUAAUGAUUUGGGAGAUACCAUUGGACAAACUUGUUAUGUAUUAACCAGUCUAAUGUGCAUACAUGUAAAAAGGUUAAAUAAAAAAAGUAUGUUUUAAUU